ACCUUCCCGUAGGCGGGGUCCCUCCCCUCCCAGCUCGGGCCGACAGCGUCGUCACCAGCUUUUAUGGGGCACGUGGCGGCUGAUGCACAGUAAAUAGAAGUGACUCUCCCCUACGAAGGCGGGGACCGCACUUUAUGAGACCAAACAAACUGCCCGAGCGAAGCCCUUGGAGCUCUAAAUACUUGGCAGCAAAAUCCCUCCUGAGGCUUCUAGCUGGGCAAUCCCUCCUUAGUGUGGGCUGGGGCUGCCUCCUUCUGACAGAACACUUAGAAGAAAUUCUCACCUGAAAACCCCACCUGAGACAUGUGGAAGUGCCCCGCCCUGAAGGCCGCCCCCCAUUCUUCCCUGCUGAGAUGAAGCACUGCCUCUCACCCUGAUGGGGCCACACCAGUCCUUCCUUCCCAUCCUCGCGGCACCAAAGAAACCAAAACCCACGCCGAAGUAUCAGAAACGUGUAUUCUUUUUCUUUUAAUAGUAAACCUCUUUA
rnacentral:lncRNA from 1 species